rnacentral:lncRNA from 1 species
CAUGUACUGGUGCUUUCAAGACAACUGGGAACUCGGGAGAAACGAUGUCAUAUCAUGACGUCAGUGAUCUUCAGGUCAGGAAGUCAGAGCUCGAGAAAGCUACCCGAGUUCCCUUGGAUUGUUCAAAACUAUUUUUGUCUUGAACGCUCGGGAAGUUGGAGAAUUCCGAGUUCCCAGUUGUUUUGAACGCGGCAUUACGAAUCAAGAGACUUCUUUCAGGACUGUGACCUUGGAUUAUAAUGAUGGUGAUGACUGUGAUGAUACAGAGGGAAUCGCUGAACAUGCAACAAAACCAGAAGUCACAGAAGAAUGGAUGUCAGUCAUGGGGGCAAAACUCCCAGAGUUACCAGUUCAUAAAAAUAUCUCAAGAACGGGAUGAGUGUACCAGAAACGCAGACAAGGAUGAAAGAUCAGGCCAAGAUACUGUUACCACUAAAGCCUUUCAGUGAGGGAUAUGAGGCUGCAUUCCUCAGGGACAGAAUGCGAAGGCUCUGCAGAAGAUCAGGACCUCCUUUCUUGCUGUUCUCCCCUACGGAAAGCCUGGGGGACAUACUGUACAGGAAAACCAAGCAUGUGUUUGACUACACAGUCACGGACAUGAAAGACAAAAAGCCCGAUGUUUCAAGGUGUGGUUCCAAUCUAAACCAGUGUGUUAAACCAGCCCUUCCAGUACGGAAGGGCUUCAAUGUAUCCACAUCUAGGUACAGCCAGAGAAGGGUACAAUCAAUUGAUCAGAUGACGGUGAUCAGAAAAGAUCAUGUCGGUAGGCCUUUACUGAUGCUGAAAGGCAAUGCAAGUCUAACCAACAGUGAUGGAAGCAACAACACGGAUUCAUUUGCUUAUUCAUCCAGACUCACAAAGGGAAAACCAUCAACCUCCUCUCAGCCAGGACCUGUCAUCAGGAUCCCACCAGUAUUAACCAGGAAGCAUUCUGACAUCAUCAGAGAGGAAAGAAAGAGGCACUACUACAAAGACCUGUGUCAGCAGGUGGAGGAGAAGAGACAACAAAAAGCAAGGGAGAGGAGAAGGAUUACCGCCGCCGAACAAACUCACAAUGAGACAAUGCAGUUCUGCACCUGGGGGAUGCCAGGGAGCGGAGCCCCAAACUACCACCUGGACUCUGUGAGAAGGAACAAGUUCAGUUCCACAGAAAUGAUACCCCAGGAACAGCUCCGCUGUAAAGGCUUCAGCGGGAUCCCUUUUCAUCUGCAUGUCAAAUGACGGCCAUUUUAUGGUCCCCCAGCCCAGACGAUUGAUGCUCAGCUCAGACAACUGAUAAACCCAUUAAACUAACGCAGUAGUAGACCAAACACUGCGCUCUGCUGACUUCUGUCCCAUAGGUGGUAGAUAAGUCAUCGAUUAGCUGGAUUUCAGCACUCCUUGGCACUUGUAUCUAUUGAUUAAUUUACUGUUUCAAACUACCAUGCGGGCAUAACCACACUCAAAACAAUUCUGGAACUAAGGUUUUACACAUUCUGAUGGUGUUCAAAUCAGUUGUAAUGGUAGCGAUGCACAUAAACAGUAAGAUAUAUAUAUAUAUAUAUAUAUCAUACACACACAUAAAUGCUACAGUGGUAAUUGACAGAUCGAUAGCAUGGUGAGAUAAUGAAUAGAAACAGUAGCUCACUAAAGAUAAGACUGUACACAAAAAAAAGCUCCUAACUGGUCGCGAAAGUGAUAAGAUACUGUCUGCCUACAGUCAAAGAAUUCUUCUUUUUUUUUUCAUCAUAUUUUAACCAUUUUAUAUGAGUAAUUUUGUAUGUAUAUUGAAGCCAGAGUUGUAGUGAAAUAAAACUCUCCUGUCAGAUUAAGAGACUGGGUGAAAAAAAUUGAUAAAGUCUCAAUGUCAUUGCUUUGUAGGUGAAGUGAUGUGGAAAUCUAUCCUCUGAUACUGACCUGAUAUUUGGGUUGAAUGAUUCACUAAGAAACAAUGGGUAGUGUAACUAUAGUAUUUACAAAAAGCUUUUCAACAUGAGGACCGAUGCACAAACAAGC